UGGAUCUGUGAUGACAAAGGGUGGCGUAUGAGUUGUGGAUCAUGAGUACAUGUCUGGAAGUCUGAGAUUCAC
rnacentral:snoRNA from 7 species